rnacentral:lncRNA from 1 species
GGGCAUCUACAGUGCAGAAAGCAGAGAAAUGUCAAGGAACCAAUCUGGGUAACAUCAGCAGCACCGGUAGAAUUAUACCUAGAACGAGCACAGAAAGAUAGAGGGAAAUUUGUGCUGCGGUUUCCAUGCUUCAAAUAUGCCAAGCUGUGAUGUGGCAAAUAUAAUCAUUAACGCUGCUUGAAACCCACAGGGAUCACUCCCGCAUAGCUAAAGCCUCAGUAUUGCUUUCGGCUUGAACUCACAACC